AAGAUGUUAGAACUUCGCAAGAAGAUGGCGUCCCUAAAUAACUAUUCUAAGAAAUUUCUUAGUUUGACCCCGUAACGACUGAUCCUUAAGUGGAGAGAUACAAAAGCUUUUGCUUUGUAUAAGAUGCUGACUCCUACUAGAGUUGUCUAGAGGAUGAAGAUAUAGUCUACACCAUUAGUAAUAAUGGAUAAUGUGACGGCCUGUACACCUACGGGUGGCAGCAACUGGGAAUUGUGCGCAAUGGGCGAAAGCCUGACGCCGCGACGCCGCGUGUGGGAUGAAAGCCUUCGGGUUGUAAACCACUUUUGCCAAGGAAGAGACGCCUUGGAGAAUAAGCACCGGCUAACUACGUGCCAGCAGCAGCGGUAAUACGUAGGGUGCUAGCGUUGUCCGGAUUUACUGGGCGUAAAGAGUUCGUAGGCGCCCCGUUAAGUCGCGUUUUAAAGACCAGAGCUCAACUUUGGGAGUGGACGCGAUACUAAUGGGGUUGGAAUACUGAGGGGCUAUCGGAACUGUCGGUGUAGGGGUGAAAUCCGUUGAUAUCGACAGGAACGCCAAGGGCGAAGGCAGAUAGCUGGCGGUUUUUCGACGCUGAGGAACGAAAGCUAGGGGAGCAAACCGGAUUAGAGACCCGGGUAGUCCUAGCCGUAAACUAUGCUCGCUAGGGAUGGUUUGGUUUUACCUGACCGUCUCGCAAGUCAACACGUUAAGCGAGCCGCCUGGGGAGUACGAGCGCAAGCUUAAAACUCAAAGGAAUUGGCGGGAACCCGCACAACCAGUGGAGCAUGUGGUUCAAUUCGAGACGAACCGAAGAACCUUACCUGGGCUUGACAUUUUACCCUUUAGGUUCUCAGAGAUGAGGACUGAUCUUGAUAGAAAUAUUAAGAAGGUAGAACAGGUGCUGCAUGGCUAGACCCGAAAGGGUUGAUGGCCCCCAUCUUAGUAAUGAGAUGAGGAAAAACCGGCUCAUAACGGUGGAGCCCGAUUGACUUUCGGAAUAACUUCGGUUAUUUUGAUAGUUGUAGGGUAAUACCGUGGGAAGCUUUAAUCUAAAAACAGCCAGAGAUUAUUAU
rnacentral:rRNA from 1 species